UAAUCUACUGGAUUGUUAAACAGUUACUUGGAUAACUGAGGUAAUUCUUGAGCUAAUACAUGCGAAAAACCCCGACUUUACGAAGGGGUGCUUUUAUUAGAUCAAAACCAAACAUCGCAAGAUGUAAUUUGGUGACUCUGGAUAACUUUGGCUGAUCGCAUUGCCUUGUGCAGGCGACAUUUCCUUCGAAGGUGUGCCCUAUCAACUGUCGACUGUGAUAUAGACGCUCACAGUGGUUUUGACGGGUAACGGGGAAUCAGGGUUCGAUUCCGGAGAGGGAGCCUUAAAAACGGCUACCACAUCCAAGGAAGGCAGCAGGCACGCAAAUUACCCAAUGAACGCAGUUCGAGGUAGUGACGAAAAAUAACAAUACCAGACUCUUCCGAGGCCUGGUAAUUGGAAUGAGUACACUUUAAAACCGUUCCCGAGGAUCUAUUGGAGGGCAAGUCUGGUGCCAGCAGCCGCGGUAAUUCCAGCUCCAAUAGCGUAUAUUAAUGUUGUGUGGUUAAAAAGCUCGUAGUUGGAUUUCGGCGGGUAUUGGCCGGUUUGAAUUGUUUCAAUACUGGUUAUAUUGCCCGUGUGUAUUGCC
rnacentral:rRNA from 1 species